CAGUUAUUUAUAGUAAACGUUUAACAUGCCUAGAGUAUGAAGAAAUUGAUUGAAGAAUUUUAGCCAAUAUAUAGUUAAAAUAGUGGGCCUGUAUGAAGCAGGAAUUUCGUUUCGAGAAAUAGCGUGGCGUUUGAACAGAAAUGCGCCAACGUAGUGACUGGUGUAUGGAACGUCAACAGUGGGAUGAGGAAUGGAAUCACAUUGUGUUUUGUGAUGAAUCACUUUUGUUUGGACGUGCACGAUGGCUACGUGGAGAAAGACGUGAUCCUCGUUUUGCUGUGGAGAGUCAUGUUCACAACACUAUGGGUUUAAUGGUAUGGGGUUCUAAUGCUUAUGGUAGCUGGACGUUCCAGCGAUAUGUGGAUUACGUUUUGGAGUCUUAUUUUCUUCCCUACAUAAGAAGAUAUCUCAGAUUGAUUUUGUCCACGUCCACAUAUUGCCAGGAGUACAUUAAACUUCCUAGAAGCCCCCCAUGUGAAUUUACUGCCUUGGCCACCCAGAUCUUCAGAUCCAGUAUAUAAGAUUGAGAUAUUUUGUUUUGUUGCUAUAAAAAUAUGUAUUUAUUAAUUAAAAUUUUAUUUAUUUCAAGUUUAGAAAAAUAUCAUUGCGGUGUAGCUCACUAACUAAUAAUAAAAAAAUUGGAUUU